AUGGGCUCCUAUCCAUCUGUCCCACUCCCACCCGCCUCCACGGUUCUCCGCCCACCGCCGCCGACGAUGACGCUGGCCGCCGCCCCGUACACUCCCAACGUCAGCAAGCAGAAGAAGCAGCCGCAGCCGGCAGGGAGCUGACCCCGGCCGUCGCCCUCCACAUCGGUGACAGAAUCGGCGGUGAGGCAGCAGCAGUCCACCCCAAUCCCAACGGCAGCAAGCAGCAGUCACAGUCCAAGAUGUUGACCAAUAGAUGAGAUAAGUGAAACAAGUGAACGUGGAUCACAUUCACCUUGUGCUGGAAAAGGAAAAGCUCCAUCAGAUAUCACUAACUGCGAAGAGGAGAUUCACUAACUGUCAGAUGUGGACGGACUGCAAUGCAGAGAAGUAUGCGAGUGGAGAACGAAUAAGAUGAGAUAAGUGAAAUGAGUGAAUGUGGAUCACGUUCACUUUGUGCUCCAAAGGACAUCAUAGGAGGAGAUCCACUAACUGUCAGAUGCAGAGAAAUAUGGGAGUGGAGACUGAAUAAAUAAGAUGAGACGAAAGGCUUUGGUGGCAUCUGCAGAUUCUGCAACCUCCCUGUUAGCAUGUUAACGACCUUCGUCAUCGACGGACGGUUUCUCGGGUUCCACUGGAUGCACCACAGUGCCACCAUCGCCAGCUUCCUCACCUUCUCAUUCUCUUCUUGAGUUGCUUCCAAG